rnacentral:rRNA from 1 species
UACAGAGGGUGCGAGCGUUAAUCGGAUUUACUGGGCGUAAAGCGUGUGUAGGUGGCUUCCUAAGUCGAUUGUGAAAUCCCUGGGCUCAACCUGGGAAUUGCAGUCGAUACUGGGGGAGCUCGAGUUCGGUAGAGGACGGCGGAAUUCCCCGGUGUAGCGGUGAAAUGCGUAGAUAUCGGGAGGAACACCAAUGGCGAAAGCAGGUCACUGGACCACUAUUGACACU